CUAACGCAGACUGGCGUGCCCCAGCCGUCUCUAGGCGAGUAUCUCUUUGAGCAGCUCACUCUCAAACAUGAUUAGGAAG
rnacentral:pre_miRNA from 1 species